rnacentral:rRNA from 1 species
CAGUCGCCACGGUAAUACGGAGGGGGCUAGCGUUGUUCGGAAUUACUGGGCGUAAAGCGCACGUAGGCGGCUUGGUAAGUUAGAGGUGAAAGCCUGGAGCUCAACUCCAGAAUUGCCUUUAAGACUGCCGAGCUAGCAGGUGAGAGAGGUAAGUGAAAUUCCGAGUGUAGAGGUGAAAUUCGUAGAUAUUCGGAAGAACACCAGUGGCGAAGGCGGCUUACUGGCUCAUACUGGACGCUGAGGUGCGAAAGCGUGGGGAGCAAACAGGAUUAGAUACCCCAGUAGUCCCUGUCUCUUAUAC